CUUAAUCAUCAAAGACCUGCCUGCGACGCAGGAGGUUGCGGGUUCGAUUCCCGC
rnacentral:tRNA from 1 species